GCAGCAUCAGAAGAAUACAGACGACAGUUGAGAGAGAAUCAUCUGGCUGCAGUAAGCAGUCAGAGGGAAUUCAGAAUGAAUAAUCUUGAAUCCCAAAUCUCCAAUAUGACAACUGCUCCAGAAGAUUUUCAUUGUAUUGAACUGGAAAAAUAUAAACACUUCUAUCAAUUAGAGUUAGAAGACAGAAAAUACUUGCCAAAGAAACUAAAAAUAGCUACUGAGAGGCCAGCAGCGUUCAGUAGCAGUCUUGUUGCAGAGACACAGGAGACCAGAAGUUUCUCUGGCCCUUGUACAAUGAGCACAGAGUCGGCUUCUGCUGGAACUGUUGUUGAUGGGUUAGGUCUUCACAGAGAAUUUCCUGGAAGAGAAUACUCACUGUUUUCUUCUUCCUGCCCAUGGACUUUAGAUACCAGCUUGAAGAAUAACUUGAGUGAGAUGCAGCAGGAGUUGGAAGAAAUAACUUCAGGACUAGAAGUAGGUGCUGCUGGAUACAGUCCUCUAGAAGAGUUUCUCCUCUAGGAUACAUUAAUGAGUCAAGUCUAAAUGAAUAUAUUCUUUGGAAGGCAUCUCAACAAUAUAUGCCAAUUUUUUUUUAAAUUAUAUGAUGUGAAAGACUUUUAAUUGGAUCUUGCCAAUGAAAGCCAAUUUUAUAUCCUCAAACUGUCAAAGUAUUUAGAUCAUGUGUGUUUUGACAAGUGUAUCACAGAAGUGAUCCUGUGGAUCUUCUCUUUGCAUCCUAACAUGGGAUCUACAUCUGAUUUGUCUUAUUCCUGAUGAUGUUAGCAUUGACCGCUAAUGGUGGUAUCUGCUGUGUUUGAGAUUUGACUUGCUGAAUGAGCCAAGCAUAGUACCUGAAAUAAAUCUAACUCAGUCAGGUGAUACUGGCUUUAUAAAACUAUUUGGCAUCCACAGCUCAUGAGAAUUAUUCACAAAUAUCCCCUCUUGCCCCUGGGUUUUGUGAUUGGGACCUGAGUGUACUGGAUCUGACAUGUGGGCCCAUCCUCUGGGCCCUGGAGAUCAAUCCCUGAACAUAGCAGGGAGAAGCAUACUGUUCCCAAGUCCCUCCUGGGAUGCUCAAGCUGGAUCAAUGUCCCUCCACUUCGGGCUGUGUCCCACUCUGCUAAAGUCACCAGCAACAGUACCAGGAAUGGCCAGCAGGCAGUGCACUCACAGUCCAAGCACCUCUUUUUUCUGCUACAGGACCUCCAGAGAAAAGAUGGGAAAUAGAAGAUGAGCUCCUUUGUUGGUGCCAGUAAUACCAGCAGGCAAGAACAUCAAAGCAUGGCUGCUUCUGUUCAGUGGAUAUGAAGUAGAUAAUCUGCUCCCCGAUGGACUCCACUGGAACCAUCCUGGUAUUUCAUUGCAGUUGGUGGUCCUGAUUGGAGGCUUCCACAGCACUCUCUCCAGAGCAUAUGGGAAGAAAUUGAAGACCCAAGGAACUCAUCAUUGUGUUAUUCCCCACACCACAGGAUUUUUGCGCUUUCAAUGUGGUGAAGUUGAACACUAUAAGUGAGAGAUUGAAGAAAGCACAAGAAAGGCACAAGCAGCAUCUGAAGAAUACAGAGAACUUCACUUAGAAGUCAGAUGGAACUCAGAAUGAAAGAUCUUGAAUCUGAAGUCUCCAACAGGAAAACUUCUUGAGAAGUCUUUCAUUAUAUUGAAUUGGGAAAAUACAAGCACCUCUAUCAAUUAGACUUGGAAGCUAGAAAAUACUUGUCAAACAAAAUUAAAAAUCUUCACAGAACUACUGAGAGACUAGCAGCAUUCAGUAGCAAUCUUUUUGUGGAGACAGGAGACCAGAACUUUCUUUACCACUCAUGGACAGUCCUAUAGUCACCUCCUGGUGGCAAUCUUAAUAAUGGUUUAGGUCUUCACAGAGAAUUUACUUCAAAAGAAUACUCAACGUUCUCUUUUUCCUGCCCAUGGACUUCACAUACCGGCAUGAAGAACAACUUGAGUGAGAACUCCAUGGAAUGCCAAACAUGGUGCCCAUGUCCCCUGAAGAUGUAAGAAGAGCAUCCCAAUCCAAAAUUUGAUUUCACCAAAGAAUCUAUUUCUGGAAAAUCUCAAAAUGUAUUCAACAAUGAAAAGCUACGAUGCUGCUGGAUAUUCUCCUGUGGAAGAGCUUCUUCUCUAGAUUCACUGAUGAGUCAAAUCUAAAUGAAGACAUUCUUUAGAAAGCAUCAUGGAAAUAUGUGCCAAUUUUUUUUAAAAAAAAAUAUACAAUGUGAAAGACUUUUAAGUAGGUCUUGCAAAUGAAAGCCAGUUUUACAUCCUCAGACUGCCAAAAUGUUAGCUGUUUAUAAUUUUAAUUUUAAGCACUGAUUUAUAUGACUCUUUCUUCUUGGAGAAAUAAAAUUUGCCUAAGGCU